rnacentral:siRNA from 1 species
GGAGGACGUGCAGCAUCUGUUCGA